UGGAUCCAGACUUUGAUUAUGGCUCAGGACGAACGCUGGCGGCGUGCCUAACACAUGCAAGUCGAACGGAACUUUUUUAAUUGACUUCUUCGGAAUGAUUUUGAUUAAGUUUAGUGGCGGACGGGUGAGUAACGCGUGAGUAACCUGCCUCUAAGAGGGGAAUAACAUUCUGAAAAGAAUGCUAAUACCGCAUAAUAUAUAUUUAUCGCAUGGUAGAUAUAUCAAAGAUUUAUCGCUUAGAGAUGGACUCGCGUCCGAUUAGUUAGUUGGUGAGGUAACGGCUCACCAAGACCGCGAUCGGUAGCCGGACUGAGAGGUUGAACGGCCACAUUGGGACUGAGACACGGCCCAGACUCCUACGGGAGGCAGCAGUGGGGGAUAUUGCGCAAUGGGGGAAACCCUGACGCAGCAACGCCGCGUGAAGGAUGAAGGUCUUCGGAUUGUAAACUUCUUUUAUUAAGGACGAAGAAAGUGACGGUACUUAAUGAAUAAGCUCCGGCUAACUACGUGCCAGCAGCCGCGGUAAUACGUAGGGAGCAAGCGUUGUCCGGAUUUACUGGGUGUAAAGGGUGCGUAGGCGGCUUUGCAAGUCAGAUGUGAAAUCUAUGGGCUCAACCCAUAGCCUGCAUUUGAAACUGCAGAGCUUGAGUGAAGUAGAGGCAGGCGGAAUUCCCCGUGUAGCGGUGAAAUGCGUAGAGAUGGGGAGGAACACCAGUGGCGAAGGCGGCCUGCUGGGCUUUAACUGACGCUGAGGCACGAAAGCGUGGGUAGCAAACAGGAUUAGAUACCCUGGUAGUCCACGCUGUAAACGAUGAUUACUAGGUGUGGGGGGUCUGACCCCUUCCGUGCCGGAGUUAACACAAUAAGUAAUCCACCUGGGGAGUACGGCCGCAAGGUUGCAACUCAAAGGAAUUGACGGA
rnacentral:rRNA from 1 species